rnacentral:sRNA from 1 species
AUCAUUUUAAAAUUCUAUAUUGUAUUUUACACUAGACGUACGACGUACACUCGUAUUAUUAUACACAAAAUUAAAAAUUGUUUUUUGUUGGCGAAAAUUUCAAACAUUUAAUCAAAACACAUCUUUGGUUGCAGACUUUCAAUUGAGAUUGCUCACGAGUUUUUACCAGGGUCCCAGCAAUUGCCGAGCCAUUUGUUGAAGGAAGCCAACAACGAGCCACAAUCACGGAAUAGAAUGUUAUAAGUCGGUACUACUGGAGGGUGGCUGGGCUGAUCAUCGCCCAGCUAAACACGAUGAUCAUCUCCAAAUCUCCAAGUACUCCAGUGCCAUCUGCCAUUACACAGAAGUAAUAUUACAAGAGGAAGUACAGCAAAUCCAUCAUAAACAUAUAGAAUGUUUACAGAUGCCCACGAGGGGCAUGCAACAGAAUUGGAAAUAGUUUGGUCAUGGCUAUUGGAAUUCUGAUUAAACUUUUGUGUCUGCAAAAGUUUGUUUACGCACUUGAAAGAAGCUGAAGUGUACGACAUUGAUACACCUACAUGUUGAUCUGAAAUAUAAAAUAAAAUACAACAAAA